rnacentral:lncRNA from 1 species
AAUAACUCCAUUAUAUUACAGUAAUUACUUUUAAAAAUUAACGAGUCAGUUUUAUACACAUGGCAACUAAUUUGUAUUUUUCUUUUGAAAUUUUUGAGGUGAAAUCUAGAUGAAUAUUAGCAUUGAAUAUUUAUUUGUAUGUAUAAAAUUGACUCAUUUAUAAUAUUUUCAGAUACAUUUAGUUAUGUUGAUAGGAGUCCGGCCGGGAUACUAUCGAUAGUACCAAAGACUUGGUGCUAUCGAGUUUUCUACUAUUAGAUUGAACCCUUUAAUUAUUUUUACCCGUUAGAUUAUACUAUUCAACCAAUCACCCACUCAACUCUAGUGGGCCCUUAUCAUCCUAACCACACAUUUCUUAAUCCAAGCACUAAAAAACUAAUAACACUAAUAACUUGGUGCUAUUGAUAGUAUUCCAGCCUAACUAGUUCAUGUUGAUAGUAGUAUAUUGCAUUAAUUCAAUAAAAUAUAUGGAGUAAAAUCUAUUCAUAACGUACUCCUUAUUUGGUGCAUUCAGCCGAAAUUAUCGCGAUUUAGUUACCGGAUUGAGUUCGAGAAUGUGACAUCUUUUUCAGUACUUAAUGAAUUGUGAUAUAAGGAAGCGUUAGCAAAUAAAAAGUCAUAACGUAUGUAAAGCCACUUAUGCCAUGUGUCGGUAAAAUAUAUUCUGACAUUUUAAAACAACGUCAUCAUUUUUUGUAAAAUAAAUCAGUUUGAUAUAACAGAGAGAGUUGAAAAUAUCAGAUAACGAUGUUUUUUGAAGCGUUAGGAUUUGCUAUAUUAGUGGGAACGAUUUUGCGGAACAUCUUAAAAAAAAACACUUUUAUAAUAAGAUUUUCAUAUAAUGUUUAUAUAGAGAGCUGAGCUGAAAUGCUAUCGAUAGCAAACGGACUCUCUUACCACCUAUUUAUUUUUUAUGACGGAGCCUUCAAAUUAAUAAUCGGCAUUGUUGAACAUGAUCUAUACCACAUGAAGUAUUUCGAAGCCAAAUUUCAAAUCCUUUCAACAUCAUUGACAUUAUGAUUAAAAGGUUUCAAAAUUUAUAAUUUUAAUACUAGAUAUGAAGCAUUGUCUCGUUUAACGGUGUAAAGCUAUUUAAAUCAAUUGAAUUUUAGUUAGAAAAUUUUUUAAACUAUUUACAUCAAAAUCUAUACUUUCAAUAUUGAUUAUAAAAUUCUUAUCAGAUCAUUUUUUAGAUGAUAUUUAUUUUCAGCCGUUCAUUUUUACAUUCAUUUGAUGGACAAGAGAACAAUAUUAAAAAAGCAUAAAAUUUAAUUUCUAGAUAUUUCAAAUGGUAUAGAUCAUGUUCAACGGUACCGAUCGUCGAUUUGGAGGCUCCAUCAUUAAAAAUAAAUAGGUUACAAUGGAGUUCGUUUGCUAUCGAUAAUAUUCUAGCUCAACACACUCUCUCUCUCUCUCUCUAUAUAUAUAUAUAUAUAUAUGGGAUAACGUGUAAUCUAAACCCGCAUGACUAAAAAGAACGGCCUCAUAUCCGACGUAACAAGUUCAAUGCAAAAACUUAGAAAGUGUUGAAUUAAAUUAUUAAUGAAUUACGAAUAUCGAAGCAAUGUAAUAUUUUAAUUAUUAUUAUAUCAUUAAGUAGAAUAUUAUUAUAAUUUUAAAAGGUCCAAGAACUCAAAUAUUACAUACUUUAUAGUUCGAACCAAAAAUAACAACUAAUUAAAAUUUAAGACCUAAAGCAUCAUACGCCUCAUAAUUUGCGCCAGAAAUUAUCUUCAAUGAUGAAACAAGCAAUUUAUCUCUUCUUUUUUUUUUUUAAGAAAAAACUUCAAAUACCACCUCUGUGGUUUCGUAAUUUCUCAUUUUAAUACCCCAUAGUUUAAAGUGUAUCACUUUUGUACCCUGUAGUUUUAUUUUUCUCUUUUUGUUAUCUUCUUCACUAAUUUUUUCAUUAAAUCAAUGAUAAAGUUAAAACUAAAAAAUAUUAAAGUGAAUAUUCGAUAAACUAUAGGUGAGAUAUAUAUAAUCUGAAAUUUUUUUGUAUAUGUUUUAACGAAAAGUUAACGAAAGGGCUGACGAAAAGAUAAAGAUAAAAUCACAAGGUACUAAAUCGAUAUAUUAAAUCUCAGGAUAUUAAAAUGAGAAAAUACGAAACCACGGGAAUAAUAUUUAAAUUUUUUUUUUUUUUAAUGA